rnacentral:rRNA from 1 species
UGGGGAAUUUUGGACAAUGGGCGCAAGCCUGGUCCACAAUGCCGCGUGCAGGAUGAAGGCCCUCGGGUUGUAAACUGCUUUUGUACGGAGCGAAACGGCUUCCCCUAAUACGGGGAGCUAAUGACGGUACCGUAAGAAUAAGCACCGGCUAACUACGUGCCAGCAGCCGCGGUAAUA